UGUGGGAGCGAGCUUGCUCGCGAAUGCAAUCGGGCAUUCAACAUUUAAGUUGGCUGUCAAUCCGCUUUCGCGAGCAAGCUCGCUCCCACA
rnacentral:antisense_RNA from 1 species